UUUAACCCGUGCGAACAGGGCCUCACAAUGUGCCACUUUCAUACGACUGUACUAUUCAUGCAUAUGUAUAUUAGCUUAUAUACCUUAGAAAUGCCUGACAAGAAUGAAUCUCGAAGUCCUUUUUCACAAAGAGGAUACCAAACUACCUAAGGCUCGGCCUGUGCAACACCAUUCUCUACUAAAACCCCUAACCCUAGCCAUCCUGCCUAUAAAUGGACAUUCCCACAUCCAAAAUCGGGCAACCCUAAUCCCCACCUUAUUUUUCGUGCAUCCCCAACCCCUAGCCACCACCUAGCCACAUCGACCUCCCUCCAUCACACAGGCCCGCCGAAGCCCUCUUGGGCCCGGAUCCACCGCCGCCAACGCCCGCGGUCAUGGAAGCCCCGCUCCUCUCGACUCUCGAGCUCCUCCCGUGCACCCAUGGCGCCCUGACCGAGCCGCCGAAGUAGCCCAGCCCCGUCACCUGAGCCGCCAUGGAGUCAACACCCUGGAUCUCCGAGUCCGUGUCGCCCUAGGCUACCUCUUUGUUGGGAAUGAGUACCUCGUGCCCGGAUCCGUCCAGAUCUGGUCAGGCCCCGUCGAUUCGUGCCGCCACGCUGCCCCCAGGUCACCGGAAUCCAGCCUAGCAGACCACAUCCUCGCCUCAACCGCCAUGCUGGCUUGAUCUCCUCACCGGGAGGACCACACGAAAACGACCGCAUGGGGUGGACUAGCCGGCUCGCCCGCUCGUGGGCCCCACCCGGCCUGCUCGCUAGUGCCGCUUGGCCCAGGCUGCGACCUGCCUCCCCAUUCGUGUUGGGUUGCACCACCGAGUGAGCCAUGAGGCCUCGUGAGCACCUAGAUCUAUCCCUCUCCCCUAUGAAUUGUUUAGCUAUUUGUGCUCAGUCUCGUUUGGCCCAUUGCAACAGAUUCGGCCCAAACCUGUUUUUGAAAGUCUACACUUUGUCUAAUAUCUCGGGAAUUUUGUAAUUAUAGAAAAUGCCAUGUUGUUAAACUGUCAAUAACUAAUUAACCUUGCAUCA